CAGGUUUGCCCAGGACUGCCCUGGUCUUAAAAGUGGAGUCCCUCCCACAUCCCAGGAGACUCACUGGGUUUGGUCACCCCAGAGCGGGAGAGAGAGGAAGAGGACAGAAAAGCAGGGAAGGAGGCUUUCUCCAGAGGCGGGCAGACAAGGGGAAGGGCAGAAGUGACUUCCAUGGGUGCUGGCUAGAUGGGGAAACUCACUGAGAUGGACACUGGUGGCUGAUGAACUUUUCUGUUCUAUUUGUACCUUGCACUUCAAUGAAGAGUGUUAGAUGAAUAAGGAAGUAAGUUUUCACCUGGCAGAGUCAGCCAUCCCUGAGGUUGGAGAGUUUCUCUCCCGUGUAACAGGAGCGUGGCAGCUGCAGCAGGGGUCUGAAGCCCUGGUCACUGCCGGUGGCCUGGCACCAUGGGGGCUGUGCCCAGUGGGCUUUGGAAGGUGAGCAGUGGACAAAGAGGCCCCACCCUAACCAUCUUCUCCUUGCCUGGAACCUGGCGGCUCUGUGCUUGCAUCUUGAUUCCAGCUGACCCUGCUUUUCCACUCUGGGUGGCAACUCUUGAACCCAGGUCUUACUGACCCCAGAGAGUCAGCCACUGCUCCCUGUUGCCUUCCUGGGCCAGAGACUCUCACGGGGCUGUCUGCACUAAAGUGUUCUUUCUAUCCCCUGGCGCCCUGAGCAUCAAAGAAGCUUUACUCACUACGUGGGGACCCCUCGCCUUGGAUCACAAAGAGUCUCGACCUUCCUGGACAUCAGCUCAGACCAGAUGAUGUUAAAAAGCUUCGUUGCCGUUGCUGUCUGAUUGAUUACCAGCCAGAUACUCCCUGAACCCAUGCCCAGCCACCCACGCCUCCCUAAUUUCAAGGUCUGAAGGCCAGAUGGACUCAAGCAAGCCAUUUGCCUUUCUGAAAUCUCAGCUGCCUCAUCUGAGCAAGUGAGAUAAGCCGGCUUAUCUUGCCGCUGUGAAGCUGUCUGCAAGGCAAGGUGCCUAAUAAACGUCAGCCAUUACUCACGGGAAUCAAAGCAAAUGCUUAGCGAGCCUUCCUUUGUGCCAGGCACUGUUCUGAGCGCUCUAUGCAUAUGAAUUUGUUUAAUCCUCGCCACCACCUGGGAAGCAGAUACCAUUAUUAUUCCCAUUUUACAGGGGAGGAAACUGAGACAUAGAAAGGCAAAGUCAUUCAGAAUUAAGGUCACACAGUUCGUAGAAGACGGCUGAACACAAGAGGCCUGGUUCCAGACUCCAUGCCCUUAGCCAGUAAUUAUUAUUUCUGCUAAAAUAAUUGCAAUCACUAUUAUUAUGCUGACAGGUUUAGGGGCUUGCUCUGACCAGA
rnacentral:lncRNA from 10 species